AUUGAUUGAAGGGCUUAGAGAGAUCAAUGUUGUGGUAUGGAACAGCAAUACAUUGACUUAUGACGAUUUUAUCGGCAGUGGAAAGUAAGAAAACACCUUUGAUCCGUUUAUGUGCUUUUGAAAAGAUUUGUUCUUAUUGGUUUUUUUAUUCUAAUGUUCGGUUUUCUUGUAGGAUUCAAUUGCAGAAGGUUCUUUCUCAGGGUUUUGAUGAUACUGCUUGGUCACUUCAGACUAAAACCGGAAGGUAAACAAAUUGAAAACUGAAAUCGAAGUGUCACAUUUUGCAUGUACUAGGGUAAGAUAUGUUUUGAUGAAUAACAAAUCGAAAACCAAAAUCGAAUUGUCAUUUUUUGCAUGUACUAGGAUGAGAUAUGUUUUGAUGAAUAAUCUCUAGCGGCACUUGACCUUUAGAGAUUGGUUUAAGUUAUAUUGCCUGCAGAACCUUGUUUAUAUUUCUCCAUAUAAUUCCUGAAUCUCAGGAUUUUAAUGAUACUGCUUUGGUCACUUCAAAGAAAAACCGGCAGGUAAAUGAAUCGAAAAUUGAAUGGUAGCUUUUAGCAUGUACUAGGAUAAGAUAUGUUUCAAUGAAGAAUCUAAGGACGCUUGAUCUCGAGAUCGGUUUAAGCUUAUAUUGGUUGUGAAACGCUGUUUAUGUUCCUCCAUAUAAUUCUGGAAUCUCUGUCAUUGCUAGCUUGUCUUUAUACUUAUUGCAUCCUAUCUUCCAUGUGGAUUCAUUUUUACUCUCACGGUUUAUGAGGAAGAAAAUCGGUUCUUGUAGUCAUGUACGCAUGUCUCAGUUGUCCUCAAACUGAAAGAUUUUUGCUUAAUUUAUGCUUCUGUUCAUCAAAAUUGACACGUAAUUGCUCAUUUUGCUGCAAUGUCUUGCUCCAUAAAUGUUACGAUACUGUUUUGAUAGCAAUUGUGUUUCUUGGAACCUUAUUUGUUAUAUAUAUACCAGCAAGACAUUCUGUUUCAUGCUCGGUUAUUGACUUGUCUAAUUUGCCGAGUUAAAUUUCAUGUUAUAUUCCCUAUUUUUGGAUUUCCUUUAGUUAGAGCAAUCUUUGAGCACCUACCGAUACUUUUUCCGAAUUGCAGAUAUGCCGGAGAAGUACGGCUGAUAAUGCAUUACGGAAAUGCCAAAGUAAGUCCAAUCUAUUUUACUGUUAUUCACCAGCUUCGUUAAUAUUUAUUUGAAAAAAUGUGAACUAAACGGUUACUUGGAUUAUUGCAGCCGCCAACCACAACAUAUGCUCCGACAGCACCACAAUAUACAGCUCCUCCUCCACAUGUCCCUCAAUAUUCCGCACCUCCGGCAACUUAUCCAGCUUCUUAUCCACCACCGGCUACGACAUAUCCAUCUCCAUCACCAUAUCCAGCGUAUCCUUCAUCUGCAUACCCUCCUCCACCUUCGGCUUAUACUCCGUCGCAUUCAGCUUACCCUCCACCACCUUCCGCAUACCCUCCACCACCUUCCACAUACCCUCCACCUCCGCCACAUUCAUCGUAUCCCCCAUCUACGUAUCCACAACAAUCACCCUAUUAUCCGCCAGGUAAUUUCAGUUACAUUUUAUAUCUUUCGAUGAUUACACCCUAUUGCAUUUCAAAUAUAGUACUUAA
rnacentral:lncRNA from 1 species